rnacentral:rRNA from 1 species
CAGCAGCCACGGUAAUACGGAGGGGGCUAGCGUUGUUCGGAAUUACUGGGCGUAAAGCGCACGUAGGCGGCUUUGUAAGUUAGAGGUGAAAGCCCGGAGCUCAACUCCAGAAUUGCCUUUAAGACUGCCGAGCUAGCAGGUGAGAGAGGUAAGUGGAAUUCCGAGUGUAGAGGUGAAAUUCGUAGAUAUUCGGAAGAACACCAGUGGCGAAGGCGGCUUACUGGCUCAUACUGGACGCUGAGGUGCGAAAGCGUGGGGAGCAAACAGGAUUAGAUACCCGAGUAGUCCCUGUCUCUUAUAC